GUACGCUGGCGGCGUGCCUAACACAUGCAAGUCGAACGGUUCUAAGCGCGAGCUUAGGAUAGUGGCGAACGGGUGAGUAAAAGGUAGGAAUCUACCCCUUGGACGGAGAUAGCUACUGGAAACGGUAGGUAAACUUCGAUAAGCCCGAGAGGGGAAAGUGGUGAGACAGCCGAGGGAUGUAGCCUACUCUCCAUCAGGUAGUUGGUGAGAUAAAAGCUUACCAAGCCGAUGACGGAUAACCGGUGUGAGAGCAUGAACGGUCACAAGGGCACUGAGAGACGGGCCCUACUCCUACGGGAGGCAGCAGUGGGGAAUCUUGGACAAUGGGCGAAAGCCUGAUCCAGCGACGCCGCGUGGAGGAAGAAGUCCUUCGGGAUGUAAACUUCUGAACUAGCCGAAUAAAAGGCCUGUGGACACACAGGAGAAGAAAGUAGGCUAGGAAAAGUCCCGGCUAACUACGUG
rnacentral:rRNA from 1 species